CCACCAAGACUAUUACAGGUACGGGCUCUGAGAGGAGUAGCCCGGAGAUGGGUACUGAGACACGGACCCAGGCCCUAUGGGGCGCAGCAGGCGAGAAAACUUUGCAAUGUGCGAAAGCACGACAAGGUUAAUCCGAGUGGUUUCUGCUAAAGGAACCUUUUGUCGGUCCUAGAAACACCGAUGAAUAAGGGGUGGGCAAGUUCUGGUGUCAGCCGCCGCGGUAAAACCAGCACCUCAAGUGGUCAGGAUGAUUAUUGGGCCUAAAGCAUCCGUAGCCUGCUUUGUUAGUUUUCGGUUAAAUCUAUACGCUCAACGUAUAGGCUGCCGGGAAUACUGCAAAGCUAGGGAGUGGGAGAGGUAGACGGUACUCGGUAGGAAGGGGUAAAAUCCUUUGAUCUAUUGAUGACCACCUGUGGCGAAGGCGGUCUACCAGAACACGUCCGACGGUGAGGGAUGAAAGCUGGGGGAGCAAACCGGAUUAGAUACCCGGGUAGUCCCAGCCGUAAACCAUGCAAACUCAGUGAUGCAUUGGCUUGUGGCCAAUGCAGUGCUGCAGGGAAGCCGUUAAGUUUGCCGCCUGGGAAGUACGUACGCAAGUAUGAAACUUAAAGGAAUUGGCGGGGGAGCACAAGGGCGAAUCGCGCCGCUCG
rnacentral:rRNA from 1 species